CACACGCUCUCAGUCGCCCGUGGGUGAAAAAGACAUGAAUGCCCUUCUCGAUCUUUUGUAAGUAAUUUUUUGUCCCACCCGAAAAGGUGGAAUAACGUGGGAGGGACUCACAAGGCUUGAGCUCUCAUCUGUGCAAAAGACAUAAAAGCGCUGCUCAUCCUCAUCGUCGAAAAUAGACUUAGAAAGUUUGUCUAGUCCUCUCAUUUUUUCCCACUUUGUCUAAUUGUAGGAUUAUAUUUUUUGUUUUUUCCGGAUUAAACCUUAACUUUAUUUUUUUUCCUUGAAAAAAACCUUGCAUUUUUUCAUUUUUUUCCGAUCUGGCUCUUUAGUCAUUUUUGCCCAAAAAAACUUAAAAAUGUGAGGGCUUUUUCGAGAAAAACUAAAAAAAUUAAGGGUUUAUUGGGAAACGGUUAGAAGGUUGAGGGUCUUUUUGGAACAAAAAGACAAAGUUUAGGGUUUUUUUGGAAAAAAUGAAAAAAAAUACAAGGUCAUUUUCAAGGGAAAAAAAUAAAGAUGAGGUUUAAUCCCAAAAAAAUAGAAAAUAUAAGGGUGCGUUUGGUUGUGGAAAAUUUUUUAAGAAACCUAGAAAGUUUUCCAAGGAAAACGGAAAUUUUGAAAAUGCGUUCGGUUUAUUCAAUUUUCCAAAAUUUUCUAAGAAAAUGAAAAUUUUCAUUUUUCCAAAUGGUAUGUAAAUUAGAAAAAUAAUUUUUACAAUUUUCCAAAAUUUUCUAAAUUUCUAAGAUGGAAAAUGAAAACUCCACCGUUUCCAACCAAACGUUUUUUCUAAAACUUUUAUUGAAAAUCGAAAAUAAAAACCCAACUCUAUUUUUUGAAAACAUUUUCUUGGAAAAUGAAAACAGUUUUCCACAACCAAACGCACCCUAAGCUCUUCUAUAAGAUGAGAUGAAACAUGAAGAACACACUUUCUCCACGUCACCGUGAUGUCCUUUUGAGUAUCCAUACGUAAGAUACUCUGCUACUAAGCCUCCAACAAUCACACAUAAGAACUUGCUUAAUACCUAAGGAAAAUCAAACCGAUCAAUAUAAGUCACAUGAUGAAAUUAAAAAAGCACAAUAGAAGUAGAGAAGAAAAGUAGGCCAUGUUUGUUCAAUAAGUAAGAACACCAUGGCCUUGAACUGCAUUUAGUGUGUAUUGGACCGAGACUCAUGUAGAUGGGACAAAAAGUGCAAUUUUUUGUCCUACCUAAAAGAAUACAACAAGGUGGGAUGUCCCACUUAUUGUUGGUGGUUUGGGGGUCAUAUUUAGGUUCGUGGGUUCGUGAGUUCGUGGGUCAGAUUCCAUAAAUAAAACUUAUAAUNNNNN
rnacentral:lncRNA from 1 species